GUGCCUUCUUACAUAACACAUAGGUAAAAUUGGAAUGACACGGAGAUUAUUUUGGCCCCUACACAAGCAUGACACGCAAAUUCAUGAAACCCUUCCAUAUUUUU
ensembl:snRNA Gm55166 U6 spliceosomal RNA